CCCUCAGCCAGGCCCUCGACGUCUGGAAGGUCUUUCAGCUAAUCUACAUCCCCGAGUCCCGUUGCACAUAUGUGGAGAUGUCUUGAGGAUGGAGGCAAGCUCAAGUGAUGGCAGUUAGAGGCAGGCAUACCUACCUUCUCCAUUCUCUCUCCUACACAGUCUACCCACUGGAUGAUUCCAAGGAUACUCUGAAGCCACGUGGUGAAGAGGACUGAACCUUUACAUAGAAGGAAUUUGGGUCCCUGAGUGACAACUUAGAACAGAAAGGCCUCCUCCCCUGGACCAAUCUACAUAGGACUGUGUGAUGUAAACUAAAAAUACGUUAUGGGGUAGGCUACUGAAAUCUGGAGAUCGUUUGUUACAAAGGCUAGCAUACUUACCCUAUAGUAGGAGGAGCUCUCACCGUUCCCUGAGAGGUGCUGUUAGGAACUCACACAGGGCAGUGCUCCUUCUCUACUCCGAAUCCCCCUGGACAUCAGGAAGAGAGCUCAGUUCACCUAUGCCCACCUCUGCAGUCCGCCGCCACGCUCAGGAGGACCUCAGGAGCAUGGUAACGGCUGACAUUACUGAAUACUCACCCUGAGCUGGGCCUUGCGCUGGGCACGUUACAGCAAGACCUCAUCUGGACUUCUCAUCGCAACUCAGAAGAAGGCACUAGUCAUAUACCCAUAUCCAUUUCAGAUUUGAUCCAGAAAGGGUAAGUAACUGUCCCCAGAUGGCGCAGGUUAAAAGAACACGCAGUCCUGAGACUUCGAACCUGGCUUGAUUUUCCCAACUUCUCAAGCCAUCUUUUCUAAGGCAGAUAUGACCAAGGAGAGUCCUAUCUGAAGGCUUUACCGGUCAUCACCUUGGUUAUCAGCUAACGGUGCAUUCUCAACUGUCGGAAGUACCUGCGAGCGCUCACCCGAGAAGAGGACAAAGCUGGGGGGGAAGGGCUGCUGGUUGCAGAGGCGACAGACUUGGGAAGGCAAACUCGGCCCCGGGACGCUGGGCUGACGGCUGGCCCGCCCUGGGCCCUGGGCUGCCCUUGCCUGCAGGCCACAGUCCCACGUGACCUCACAGCCGCCCCAGAGGGGGCCGAGCAGCCGCGGGCCCAGGUGCACGGGGAGCCUAGGGCAAGGGGAGAGAAGGACUUGGGGUGGGCGGUCCUCCCACCAACCCCUCCACACCCAGCGGCCGGCCCCGAUCCAACACGGCCCGGCCUGGAGCGGAAGCCCGACUCCGAAUGGGGCAGCUUCUCCCAGUCUUCCGAUGCCCGGGGAGGAGGGGGACUCAAGGCUUGGACUCCGCGGCCUGUACACCCAGGAGUUUGGUUUGCGGUGGACAGGAGCGGCACCUACCCGGCCGUGGGAAGGUCCACGUCCAGCCAGUCUCCAAGCUUCCAAACACCCGGGGAAUCAGGUCUAAACAUAUCUUGGUCCUACUUGUAAUCAGCUGCAAAAGUACAAAGUGUGAACUCACCUGUUUAAUUGUCAAAGAAUCUGAGAGCGAUGGAAAGUUAAAGGUGCAGAAACCGAAGGUCAAAGAGGACAAGGGAUGUAAACAAGACUGCAGAAUCUCAGAGGCUGUGGAGCCAACUCUACACCCAAAUCUGCUCCUUCAGGAGGCCGGUGCUCUUUGCAUCACUCCAUGAAUUCAGGCUGUAGGAGUCUAUUAUUUACAAAGGGCAAGAAUGAGAAGAUUAUAGGGGUAGGACCAACCAGUAGCCCUGUUCAAACAAGGCAAUAACUGCUUAUUUCCCUCAGAACAAAUGUACAGCGUAAGGCACUUCAUGUCUGCCUGGUGCUAUUGAUGGUGACGAUGGCGAUGACAAUGAAGGAGACUGGCUGCUGCUGAGGGUGAUGCUCCAGUGGUGCUAACACUUCAAUUACGACACAGAGAUCUCUGUGAUCUUAAAGUUCUUGAGGUCAAACUUGGGAUCUUUUCUCUCUAGAUUGUCCAAGAGAAGCAAACUCUGGCUGGAGUUGUGUUUGCGUUCGUUCAUUCAUCAAAUAUUACAGUGGCUGAGCAACUACUUUCAGGCCCUGUGCUAGGCAUACAGAACACAGAAAUGAACAAAACACACAUACUCCCUGCUCUUGGGCAGCUCGCAAUCUUAAUUAAACACUCCACCUAGUCAUGCCCACUGGUUGGAAGGUGAGUGGGGAGCAGUGUCCCCACAUGAAAGCUGCCCCUAAGAAGCUGGCAUUUGUGGCUUUUGCUGGGUCCCACUGACCAAGGCAACACUAAGACACUAGCUGUGGGCUAGGCCUGGGUUUCCAGCCCUGGUGCUGCCAGUGGCCAGCUAGGGGACCUUGGGAAAUCCAUCUAGCAUCUCUGGCCCUGAUGUAAAAUGGCUGGGCAAAAGGGAAGGGCAAAAAAGACUCAAUUCAUGGUUUUCAAACUCAUUUUAAGCUAUAUUCUCAUUCUUUACUCAGCGAAUAUUUACCUAGAGUCGAUUUUACACAAAUACAUGAACAACACAAAUAUGGCCCGAGGCCUCAGGGAGUUUGAGGUCUGGUGGAAAUCGUAUACCAAACUCCACUGUGUAGAAAUGGAGCUAAUCCUGAGAUCAUCUGAGGCUCUACAAAACACAGUUUAAAAAAAGUGUAUAUAUAUAUACAUGGUGCGAUAUGUGACCUACUAUACAUGGUAUAUAUAUAUAUAUAUAUAUAAUCUCCACACACAGACUACUAAUCUCUCAGGCUCCUUUCUGCACUGAGAUUUCUUGGGUUCUCCCAAGUUGGGGCAACAACAGCAGCAGAAACUGAACAUCCUAUAUGCCUAUCUCUAGUCCUAUGUUGACGGGUUAUUUUCUGUAAUUUUGUCCAACAAGCCCCCAGCACUCAAGCUUGUCAAGGUACUAAUGCUUUGCUCCAUUGGUGUGUUCUGGGGAAGCCAGCCAUUUGCAUGAGACUCUCCAAGUGUCUGGUUCAAACUGGGCAGGGAAAAGAAGGCCACGUGUAUUUUCAUUUGGAGGCAGAAGGAUUUUCAUGCAUUACUCCCCAAGCACAGAGCAAGCUCUGGAGAGGCUGCCAUGGAUAUUAGCAAAAGCAAGACAAAGGGGCACAGUGUGAGUUUCUUCUGCCCAGAGAAUCUUUUUUUUAUUAUUAUUUGAAAGAAAGGGAAUGAAAGCCCAGCUCCCCUAUUCCCUUGUUAGUUUUGCAAAACAAAUGAGCAAAUAAUUUUCAUUCAUCGACUUUGUUUUUUCCUUCCAAAGAAAUCUCUCCAUCCUCUCUAAGGAAGACCCAUUUGAGGUUUCCUGCACACGGUCUGUCCACUUGGUAGGAAGGGAUUUGAUUUUUUUUUCUUUCUCGCACCAUUCUGUGCCAACGUGAGCCUGACCAUUUCCAGAUGAAACACUGCCUUUACCAGAACGAAAUGUUUGCGAAAAGGUCUUUAAUGAACUGAAAACGUUAAUUUGAAAAGUCUCCUCUGUGGAAAGAGUGAGGCUUGGAGAGGAAAGGAAAUGACACACAGCCUGUGGACUGGCAGACGGCUGGUUUCUCUCAAGUGUUUCAAAAGGGGGAGAUAGAGGAUGGGUUAGGUUGAGAUCCAAAGUGGACCCUCACUUGGAGAGCAGGACCAACAUGGCAAGUCUGAGCUUCGUUCACACACUCAGCUUUGUUUUGGUAUUUUAAAUGUCUAUACACACAGGAUUCUCCUAGUGAAAAACAAUCUACAGUCCCUAGGCCCCUUCCCCACCACCAGAAAUUCCAGCAAAUGCCCCACUGGCAUUAUUUCAAAGGUAAUCUCAAUGAGAAUGAUGUUCAUGUUAACAGCACCAACCACCACUAACACCACUUUUUUUAAUCAAGGUGUUAUGCUCCCUCCCACCCACACCACCGGUGCCACCCAGAUCGCACACAGGAGGAGAAAACAUGAAAGUUACAGACUCUGCUAAGAACGCUGAUUAUAAGUCAUCGGGCAGAUAUAAUUACAGGAAUUGCUCUCCCUAGCCGAGCUGAUAUUUAUUUCAGCAUCUCUGACCCUUCACGAGGAUCUUGCUGCCACCUCACCCCCGACUUUCCACCCCCACCCCCAAAGGGCUUUUCUAACUGAAAGCAAACCCCAGCCAAAUCCUGCUCAUACUCUCGGCCAGGUGCCAGGAAAAGUGUAAAUUUUCGUGCGCUCCGGCUAUUUUGCCAGAAGUCUGCAAAUGUGUCUGGACACGAAUGGCUGUUCCCUUUUGCGAGGCCAGGCCCAAGCACCAGGAAGUUCUAAAAGCAGCACAUGGAGAGAGAUCAGGUGACCAGAGAAAGGGGCAAGAACAGCCUGUCUGUGUAAGUAAGUCAGGCUCUCCUGGCGUAUCCUGUCUGUGGCCACAGUCAGUCACCUUAUUGCCCUUAAACAGAAAAAAAAGAAAAAGGAUAAUCUUUCUCAAACUCAGUAUUCCAACUGUGUGCUGUUAACUCUGUUCCCAAAGGCAAUCCCCCAAUUCCCUACCAGGACUUCACCUUCCAUAAUGGAAAUUAAAUCAGUUAAGUUUGGAGUGUCUGCGUGCAUGUGGUGUGUGUGUGUGUGUGUGUGUGUGUGUGUGUGUGUGUCUGAGAGAGACAGAGAGGCCGUCUGUAAGCAUGGGCACGGCUAACUAGAGUUAACCCAUGCGGCUCCUUUGGCCUUGGCAAAGAUGAAAGCAAAAAAGCAUUUUAAAGACUGUUUGAGAGGAAGGAUUUAAAAAAUGUAGAAAGCAAAGAUCACUCAACAAGCAGGGGGCAUCAUUAACCAGUCUUGCAAGCCCAGGUCACUCUUGCUGCCACUCAGGAUAGACAGGCCUUCAUCCUUUCGGAACCCCCGGCACCUGUGGGUAAGUAGGGGCACCACCGAGCCCCGUGCAGGUCUUCUCCUCCAUGUUGAUGCUUUGCCUCCCCACCAUGCCACAACUGGGUGGAUUUCACUGCUCUGUGAAGCCUGUGGUCUGUCUCUAAAUUCCCCCAGUUUUCAUUCCAUCCCUAUUGAAGGGGGCAAUAAACUUUAAUGCGGAGGAUGCAAUUAUUUGGGGGCCAGGUGUGACUUAACAAGCUUGAAAGCCUCUGAACAGAAGCAAAACCAAAGGGAAGGGUAUGUUUUCCAAGUGAUUAAAAAAUGGUGUUACUCCCUUCACACCCAUCCUGCCCUCCCCCACCCCCCGACUCCCAUCUUGCCCUAACAAAGCAAGGGACGGAUUCAAAUCAAAGGGAUCUGGACUUUACUUACCAGAUGAAUAUAUUAAAGUGCUCUGGCUGCUAAGUUUCUACCAAAACAGCCAUGGCUAGAACAAGGGAAGGACUGCACUAAAAAGGAGGAGGUGAAAAACCCCUACAAGAAACACAGAUUUGCCUCGAAUUAUACAAUAGACAUAUUUCACUAAAAUGAAAUAUAAAUGGUUUUACUAAAUGGAUUCACUGUCAGUGUACUGGCUAUUGUUCCUAGAGGGAAACCUUUCAUAAUUUGAAAAAGAAAGAGUAGCUGCUAUUUAUCUUUCAGGCCAAUUUGGGGUGCUAGGUAUGAUAUGGCCUUUUUUUAAAGUAGAGGACAGCCAAAUAAAAGGGUUUACGGAAUUUUUUAAAAUGUGAAACACUAGCCAGAAAUGUAGCUGCAAGGUGCAUGUACUGAAAUAAACUAGAGAAGGGGAAGAGAAGGAAAAAGGAGAGAAGGAGCGAAAGAGAGAGACAGUGCCUCCUUGGGUCGAUGAACCCAAUUCAAUGGAUUAAGGUGUCUGUACCCCAUCCUAAAAGGGACUGAGAUGAGCAAAUAGCAUGCAGAGAGAUGAACUGCCAAGCCGGACAACCAAAGAGAGGGGAUGUAAUUCUAUAAAGAGCAAGGCAGAGAAAACGAGUGAGGUCAGGAAAAAUGCAUGGCAGGCUGAGUGUCCUGGGAGGUUGGGGGCGGUCAGAGACCCCAGUCAAGUGUUUGAAAUAGAGAAGUUAGAAAAUGCGUUUUGGCGAUACUCAGGUGCCUCUUGUU